CAGCCGCCGCGGUAAUACGUAGGUGGCAAGCGUUGUCCGGAAUUAUUGGGCGUAAAGGGCUCGCAGGCGGUUUCUUAAGUCUGAUGUGAAAGCCCCCGGCUCAACCGGGGAGGGUCAUUGGAAACUGGGAAACUUGAGUGCAGAAGAGGAGAGUGGAAUUCCACGUGUAGCGGUGAAAUGCGUAGAGAUGUGGAGGAACACCAGUGGCGAAGACGACUCUCUGGUCUGUAACUGACGCUGAGGAGCGAAAGCGUGGGGAGCGAACAGGAUUAGAUACCCGCGUAGUCCCUGUCUCUUAUAC
rnacentral:rRNA from 1 species